GUGGCCCCAACCCUGCUCGCCAGCGCUAACUCCAUCCUAAGACCGAAGAGCCUGCAGAUAGCAUGUCUGGCGGAAGGACCACAAGUGGAGGCACGUGCAUGUUCAAGUUCCAAGUGGUCUCCUGCCCUGGGUCAGUCUCACACCGGAUGUUCCCUGGAAGUAAAUCGGGGCAGGAUACAAUGGCAAAUAGAAACAUUAACUCUCACAAUGUCGCAAGAAUCCGACUGCAUUAUUCCCUGACCUCCGGAAAG